UAGUUAUUAGCUUAGUUGGUAAAGCGCUCGUCUAGCAUACAAGAGUCCUGGGUUCAAAUCCCAGCUGACCAC
rnacentral:tRNA from 1 species